rnacentral:rRNA from 1 species
UUCGGACCUCCAAUCAAGCAAGGCUACCCGCUGGAUUUAAGCAUAUAACUAAGCGGAGGAAAAGAAACUAACCAGGA